rnacentral:ncRNA from 1 species
AUAAGUGCGUUGAAAAAGAAGAGUAAAUAGUAUUUUAAUUUUAAGAGAUCUAGGGAUAGUGUAAGCCUAGAAUUUAAAACUAUUGAAGGAAGCUUUGGAGCAAUAAAUAGAAAGUCGUGAGAUGUAGUAUAUUUGUGGGGUUAUUCCCUUAAAGAUAAUUAAGAGGAUUAAGUUGGUCAUACAAAGAGUAAUAAGUUAGUAUGAUUAAUUAGUGUCAUAUGGCUAGAGCAGUUAACAUAGUUAAUGUUAUAAGCGCUACGUUGACCUAAUUACUAGAUUUAAUCAAUUUAGGUGGUAACGCGGAAGUCAGCCUUUCGUCCUAAGU